CGGCAGGCCUAAACAUGCAAGUCGAGGGGUAACAGAGAGAAGCUUGCUUUUCUGCUGACGACCGGCGCACGGGUGCGUAACGCGUAUACAAUCUGCCUUAUACAGAGGGAUAGCCUUUAGAAAUGAAGAUUAAUACCUUAUAGUCUAUUUUUAUAGCAUUAUAUAAAUAGUAAAGCUUCGGUGGUAUAAGAUGAGUAUGCGUCCUAUUAGUUAGUUGGUAAGGUAACGGCUUACCAAGACAACGAUAGGUAGGGGCCCUGAGAGGGGGAUCCCCCACACUGGUACUGAGACACGGACCAGACUCCUACGGGAGGCAGCAGUGAGGAAUAUUGGACAAUGGAGGCAACUCUGAUCCAGCCAUGCCGCGUGCAGGAUGACGGCCCUAUGGGUUGUAAACUGCUUUUAUAUAGGAAGAAACCUUUUCACGUGUGAGAAGCUGACGGUACUAUAAGAAUAAGGACCGG
rnacentral:rRNA from 1 species